ACGCAACCUCGCGCUGUCAAAAUGUUUUGAAAAACAAAAUGCUCUUAUUUCGAUGCUUUUCAAGAGUUUUGUUGUGAUAAGAACACUGGAAUAUAGACUGAAAUACUAUCCAACCAUAAGACUCAUGAUCUUGACAUGGAUCCAAGAUGCUGGUAACUAGGCGGGACGGAUUGUUUCACAGAACUGCAGUUUUCUGGAUGGAGACUCAGCCCCAUGUCACAAAUACUUCAGAACCUAGAAUAAAAGUUACCGGAAGAGCAAUAGACAUUCCAAUCUCUACAAAAUUCAUCUUAACUGUUUUUCAAGGUGAUACUUGAGCCUACCAAAGACUUUCCAAGGACAUAAUUCACAAAACAGUUUAUGCCACCAUCUCAUAUCAAAGGAUUGUGCUUGAGUUGAACAGCCUUCAAACAGAAACUGUUUCAACACAUUCAAUGGAUUCAUUCUGAUUCAGUUUACCCUUGCUGUGAUCUGAGCAACUAUUAACAGCAGUUCAACAUUGUAAAUUGUUUAAACUUGAAAAUUCUGUCUUCUUGCAACUCACAUGAAUCUAUUUACUGUGGACUUUGAUGUUGACUCUAUACAGGAAGAAAAGACCAUCUUUAUACAUGCUGGCAUAUCAUUUAUAAAGGAAACAAAUAUUAUAACCAACAUACUGCACUGUUAUGUCAUCCAAGGACUCAGCUACUGACUUAAUUUAUAAAUACUUGAAAGGAAAAAUGUCUCUGUCAAUGUAAUUACUGUUGUGCAUAAUAAGACAUUUUUUAUUAUGCCCCCCUUCGAAGAAGAGGGGUAUAUUGCUUUGCACAUGUCGGUCGGUAGGUCGGUACCGUCUACCGUUUGUAGACCAAAGCUUAUAUCCGAGUAAUAACUCAACAUUUCCUGGACGUAUGGUCAUCAAACUUGACAUGAAGGUUGGGCCUGACCAGUAGAUGAUUUUAGGGCUCAUCGGGUCAAAGGUCAAGGUCACAUUGACCUCGAAUGGUAAAUUCAUUUUAAAGCUUGUCCGAGUGAUAACUCAACAAUGCAUAGACCUUGAUAUGGAAGUUUGGCCUCACCAGUAGAUGACAUCUAUUGUUUUUGGGAUCGUCGAGCCAAAGAUAAAGGUCACAGUGACCUUGAAUGGUAAAAGGUUGUCCGAGUGAUAAAUCAACAAUGCCUGCACCCAUGGCCCUCAAACUUGACUCGGAGGUUGUGCCUUACCAGUAGAUGACCCCUAUUCAUUUUAGGGGUCAAAGGUCAAGGUCAAAGUGAUCUUGAAAGCAAACUGGACAAUUCCUGGACCAAUCAUGCCAUUCAGUCUGAAUGGUCAUCAAACUUGACAUAAAGGUUGGGUCUGACCAGUAGAUGACCCCUCUUGACUUUGAGGGUCAUCAAGCCAAGGUCAAGGUCACAAUAACUUUUAAUGCAAAAAAGAUAACAAAUCUUCUCCCAGGGAUAUCUCAACAAUGCCUGAAUCUAUGAUCAUCAAACUUGACAUGGAAGUUGGGCCUGACAAGGAGAUGGCGCUUAUUGAUUUUAGGAGUCAUUGGGUCAAACUUCAAGUUCAAAGUGACCUUGAAUGCGAAAAUGUUUGUCUGUGUGAUAAUAUGUCAAUGCCUGAACCCAUGUCCCUCAAACUUGACAUUUAGAUUUUUGUAGACCAGCUGAUGACUCAUAUGGAUUUUGAGGUCAUAGAGUCAAAGGUCAUAGUCAUAACACACUCUAUCCUCACACUUUGAAUGGUCAUAAUCUUAAAACUGCCUCAACAGCAUUCAAUGUCAGUGACUAAUCAACUGUCAUUUCGGUCCAUGCUUAUUUCAUUCAAUUGUUCAUAUAAUCCUGACAACAUGGCGCUCAGGUGGGGGCAUAAUGUUUGACAAACAUCUCUUGUUGAUACUUGGCUCAUUUCUUACAUGUAGCUGAAACAUUUUGGGCAACUUCUUAAUUAUUUUGUUUAAGACAUUUUUCAUCCAGCUCAUCUAAGCCUAAGUUAGUGUUCAUGUUAACUUUUAUGACUGCCUGUUUAUUGUAUUUUUUAUAAAUUAUUUUCAAUGAAUUUUCUCAAGAACCAUUUGGCUAAGUACGUCUCCUCCUGAAAUAGACUAAUUCUUUUAACUGGAGUUGUCUGUCUGUCCGUCUGUAACAAAUAGUGUCUGCUCCAUGUCUCUUUAACCUUUUGAAGGACUUGAUAUAACUUCCCACAAAUGUUCACCAUAUUGAGAGGAGGUGUAUAUUAUAAUAACUGUUGAGCAGUUUCUGAACUUGACUGUAUUAUAUCUUGCAUUUACCUUAAGCUGUUAAGUGAACAAUAUGACAUUGGCCAAUACAAGGAACUAAACCUUCUAGGUCACCGAUUUGGAAUAAAGUAAUACUUAAAGCUCAUAUUUCCAUAAGAAUCUGCUCAUAUACAGUUUAAAUAGCUUAUACCAAUAUAUAAGUAUAUCAUUUCAACAUAACAUCAGAUCCUCUACUGUUUUAUGUUUGCAACAUUUUUGUUUUAAACUUUGAGUUAUAUACUUUCUAUACUUAUAUAUGACUUUUAUGAACAAAUACCAAACAGCAACUCACAGAUCUAUGCUCAUUUGGGCAGAAUUUUGUAAAUCCAAGCAUUGUCAUUUGAUAUUCAAUGCUUUUUGGCAAAUUGGGGCAUUUUCUGUCACAUUAAAUUCAAUAUUAACAAUAAAUCUCCAACUUCAAUAUUCUCAUAUUUUUGUGUCCAUUCUUUGCCAAUUAUUUGUUUGUCUAUUGGUAUACAUGUAUGUUUAUUCAUACUGUUUGUCAAAAUAACGAAUGAAUAAAAUGUUUGAAAUA